GAUGAACGCUGGCGGCGUGCCUAAUACAUGCAAGUCGAGCGAACAGACGAGGAGCUUGCUCCUCUGACGUUAGCGGCGGACGGGUGAGUAACACGUGGAUAACCUACCUAUAAGACUGGGAUAACUUCGGGAAACCGGAGCUAAUACCGGAUAAUAUAUUGAACCGCAUGGUUCAAUAGUGAAAGACGGUUUUGCUGUCACUUAUAGAUGGAUCCGCGCCGCAUUAGCUAGUUGGUAAGGUAACGGCUUACCAAGGCAACGAUGCGUAGCCGACCUGAGAGAGGGAUCGGCGACACUGGAACGGAGACGCGGUCCAGACGCCUACGGGAGGCAGCAGUAGGGAAUCGGCCGCAGUGGGCGGAAGCCUGACGGAGCAACGCCGCGUGAGUGAUGAAGGUCUUCGGAUCGUAAAACUCUGUUAUUAGGGAAGAACAAAUGUGUAAGUAACUAUGCACGUCGUGACGGUACCUAAUCAGAAAGCCACGGCUAACUACGUG
rnacentral:rRNA from 1 species